GACGAACGCUGGCGGCGUGCUUAACACAUGCAAGUCGAACGGAGAGGCCCCUUUGGGGGUACUCGAGUGGCGCACGGGUGAGUAACACGUGAGUAACCUGCCCUUGACUUCGGGAUAACUUCAGGAAACUGGGGCUAAUACCGGAUAGGAAUCCUUGCUGCAUGGUGGGGGUUGGAAAGCUUCGGCGGUUUUGGAUGGACUCGCGGCUUAUCAGCUUGUUGGUGGGGUAGUGGCUUACCAAGGCUUUGACGGGUAGCCGGCCUGAGAGGGCGACCGGCCACAUUGGGACUGAGAUACGGCCCAGACUCCUACGGGAGGCAGCAGUGGGGAAUAUUGCACAAUGGGCGGAAGCCUGAUGCAGCAACGCCGCGUGCGGGAUGACGGCCUUCGGGUUGUAAACCGCUUUCAGCAGGGGCGAAGCUUGUGGUGACGGUACCUGCAGAAGAAGCACCGGCUAACUACGUG
rnacentral:rRNA from 1 species